CCCUUGUCGGGGGAGACCUAAUGCACAUGCGUGGCAAUGGCCGUGCUCCCAUUAGACAUCCCCAUAGUAAACAUUGCAGCACUAAGUGUAAAAAGGGUCACAGCACCCAGACCACUUCAACUAGCUGAAGUGGUCUGGGUACCUACAGUGUCCCUGUAAUACAAGAUCUUCCAGUCACCUUUAACAUACACAUAAUUAUCACAUUUAGUGCUCCUAGCCUGGAUUUUUUUUCUGGUAUUUUCACUUUUUAAAAGGGGGUGGGGGGAGAAGAGCGAUCAAAUUACUCUUUGGAAACUGCUUAAAUUUGCUGGAGAGGAAAAUAAGUUAGUUUGUGAGAGGUGACUGUUAAUAGUUAUUUUCUGCAACUGAGAAAAGGAUCUUAUAGAGAGGGGGGGAAAGCACAAGACACAACGUGAAUUCUACAAGCAAGCACGUGACAGAUUGGCGAGCGUCCAGAGUGAAAUCCACAAUGCGCAGCUGUAUGAGUGAAAGCAGGUGGUGAAAUGUAUUGUGAGUUAAAAUGGACUUUAUUACUGAUAUUGCACAGCAAAGUAAUGAAUAGCAGAUGUUCAGAUGGCGAACUGUUGGUUAGUUUGUAUGAUCAAUGUAAAGAAGCAGAUGCAUUGAUAAAUUUUGUCUGACUAAAAAGAAACCCAAGAUUAGACAUGUUUUAAAAUUAACAUUCAGCGUGGUUUAAAAUGGCAGUGCCUCAAAAAAGGGCAAAUACCAAUUGAAGUAGAUGUGCAAGAUUUGAAGAAAAAAAAU